rnacentral:rRNA from 1 species
UCGACCGGGACGAAGCGAGAGUGACGGUACCGGUAGAAGAAGCACCGGCCAACUACGUGCCAGCAGCCGCGGUAAUACGUAGGGUGCGAGCGUUGUCCGGAAUUAUUGGGCGUAAAGAGCUCGUAGGCGGUGUGUCGCGUCGGUCGUGAAAACUUGGGGCUCAACCCUGAGCGUGCGGUCGAUACGGGCAUCACUUGAGUUCGGCAGGGGAGACUGGAAUUCCUGGUGUAGCGGUGAAAUGCGCAGAUAUCAGGAGGAACACCGGUGGCGAAGGCGGGUCUCUGGGCCGAUACUGACGCUGAGGAGCGAAAGCGUGGGGAGCGAACAGGAUUAGAUACCCUGGUAGUCCACGCCGUAAACGGUGGGCACUAGGUGUGGGGGCCAUUCCACGGUCUCUGUGCCGCAGCUAACGCAUUAAGUGCCCCGCCUGGGGAGUACGGCCGCAAGGCUAAAACUCAAAGGAAUUGACGGGGGCCCGCACAAGCGGCGGAGCAUGUGGAUUAAUUCGAUGCAACGCGAAGAACCUUACCUGGGUUUGACAUGCACUAGACGCGUCUAGAGAUAGGCGUUCCCUUGUGGCUGGUGUGCAGGUGGUGCAUGGCUGUCGUCAGCUCGUGUCG